AUUGGACCUGAUAUCA
rnacentral:rRNA from 2 species